GUGCUCACUUUGGCUUCACAUAUUCUAAAAAAUUGGAAUGAUGCAGAGUAGAUUAGCAUGGUCCUGCAUGAGGAUGACACAAAAAUUCAUGAAGUGUUCCAUAUUAAA
rnacentral:snRNA from 1 species